rnacentral:rRNA from 1 species
GUGGAGCAGGUGGCUUAAUUUGACUCAACGCGGGGAAUCUUACUAGGUCAGGACCGAUUCAUGAAUGUCACCGUAAUGUGUCGCCGGUACAUGAUUGUUGGAUGAGUGGUGCAUGGCCGUUCUUAGUUCGUGGUGUGAUUCGUUGCAUUAAUUUGUUUCGUUUCAUGUCUCGCGGCAAAGAACGUAAAAACGAACGAGACCGUGGCCUGUAUAAAACUACAGGGACAGGGGAACAAUACUACUACACACCAGGAAGGGCACGGCAAUAACAGGUCUGUGAUGCCCUCAGAUGUUCUAGGCCGCACACGUGCUACAAUUGCCUCCGUAGUUGUAGUGCGCGUGUUGUGAGAUCCCCCGCGUAGAGUCAAGUUGAGUCCCCUAGUUGAGAUCGUCGGUUGUAACUAUCUGACGUCGUAACUAGGAAUGCCUCGUACGGUGGGAUCAACGAGUUCCAUUGGAAUCCGUCCCUGCCCUUUGUACACACCGCCCGUCGCUCUUACCGAUGGCGGUGGUUUCGAAUGUCACCGAGUGGGUCUCGCGACUCGCAACGUAACGUAAGAAACCGCCGCUAAAGGAAAGAGAAGUCGUAACAAGGCAUCG